GGUUAAGUUGUUAAGGGCGCACGGUGGAUGCCUUGGCACUAGGAGCCGAUGAAGGACGGUACUAACACCGAUAUGCUUCGGGGAGCUGUAAGUAAGCUUUGAUCCGGAGAUUUCCGAAUGGGGAAACCCACUGCUCGUAAUGGAGUAGUAUCUUCACCUGAAUUCAUAGGGUGAUGAUGGCAGACCCGGGGAACUGAAACAUCUAAGUACCCGGAGGAAGAGAAAGCAAACGCGAUUUCCCAAGUAGCGGCGAGCGAAACGGAAGAAGCCCAAACCAAGAGGCUUGCCUCUUGGGGUUGUAGGACACUCUAUACGGAGUUACAAAGGAACGGAGUAAAUGAAGAGGUCUGGAAAGGCCCGUCAAAGAAGGUAACAACCCUGUAGUUGAAACUUCGUUCCCUCCAGAGUGGAUCCUGAGUACGGCGGGACACGUGAAAUCCCGUCGGAAGCAGGGAGGACCAUCUCCCAAGGCUAAAUACUCCCUAGUGACCGAUAGUGAACCAGUACCGUGAGGGAAAGGUGAAAAGCACCCCGGAAGGGGAGUGAAAGAGAUCCUGAAACCGUGUGCCUACAAGUAGUCAAAGCCCGUUAAUGGGUAAUGGCGUGCCUUUUGUAGAAUGAACCGGCGAGUUACGAUCCCGUGCAAGGUUAAGUUGAUAAGACGGAGCCGCAGCGAAAGCGAGUCUGAAUAGGGCGAAUAAGUACGUGGUCGUAGACCCGAAACCAGGUGAUCUACCCAUGUCCAGGGUGAAGUUCAGGUAACACUGAAUGGAGGCCCGAACCCACGCACGUUGAAAAGUGCGGGGAUGAGGGGUGGGUAGCGGAGAAAUUCCAAUCGAACUUGGAGAUAGCUGGUUCUCUCCGAAAUAGCUUUAGGGCUAGCCUUGAAAUGAGAGUCUUGGAGGUAGAGCACUGAUUGGACUAGGGGCCCCCAUCGGGUUACCGAAUUCAGUCAAACUCCGAAUGCCAAAGACUUAUGUUCAGGAGUCAGACUGCGAGUGAUAAGAUCCGUAGUCAAGAGGGAAACAGCCCAGACCACCAGCUAAGGUCCCAAAGUAUACGUUAAGUGGAAAAGGAUGUGGAGUUGCUUAGACAACCAGGAUGUUGGCUUAGAAGCAGCCACCAUUUAAAGAGUGCGUAAUAGCUCACUGGUCGAGUGACUCUGCGCCGAAAAUGUACCGGGGCUAAACGUAUCACCGAAGCUGUGGACUGUUCUUACGAACAGUGGUAGGAGAGCGUUCUAAGGGCUGUGAAGCCAGACCGUAAGGACUGGUGGAGCGCUUAGAAGUGAGAAUGCCGGUAUGAGUAGCGAAAGAGGGGUGAGAAUCCCCUCCACCGAAUGCCUAAGGUUUCCUGAGGAAGGCUCGUCCGCUCAGGGUAAGUCGGGACCUAAGCCGAGGCCGAAAGGCGUAGGCGAUGG
rnacentral:rRNA from 1 species